rnacentral:rRNA from 1 species
UCUAGUAAAUAUAGAGCCUCAACAAGUGAUACAGUAGGCUGACUUUGAUCUCAGAAACUAAGCAAGGUUGCACCUGAUUAGUAUAUGGAUAGGAGACUACAAGGAAAUUCCAGGGCUGUAGUC